rnacentral:rRNA from 1 species
AGUGGCGGACGGGUGAGUAACGCGUGAGAAUCUGCCUUGGGGUCGGGGACAACCACUGGAAACGGUGGCUAAUACCGGAUACGCCUUCGGGUAAAAGAUUUAUUGCCCUAAGAGGAGCUCGCGUCUGAUUAGCUAGUUGGUGAGGUAAGAGCUCACCAAGGCAGCGAUCAGUAGCUGGUCUGAGAGGACGAUCAGCCACACUGGGACUGAGACACGGCCCAGACUCCUACGGGAGGCAGCAGUGGGGAAUUUUCCGCAAUGGGCGAAAGCCUGACGGAGCAAGACCGCGUGAGGGAGGAAGGCUCUUGGGUUGUAAACCUCUUUUCUCAGGGAAGAAGUUCUGACGGUACCUGAGGAAUCAGCCUCGGCUAACUCCGUGCCAGCAGCCGCGGUAAUACGGAGGAGGCAAGCGUUAUCCGGAAUUAUUGGGCGUAAAGCGUCCGCAGGUGGCGAUUCAAGUCUGCUGUCAAAGCACGGGGCUUAACUCCGUAAAGGCAGUGGAAACUGAAUAGCUAGAGUGCCGUAGGGGUAGAGGGAAUUCCCGGUGUAGCGGUGAAAUGCGUAGAGAUCGGGAAGAACAUCGGUGGCGAAAGCGCUCUACUGGACGGCAACUGACACUCAGGGACGAAAGCUAGGGGAGCGAAUGGGAUUAGAUACCCC